rnacentral:rRNA from 1 species
AGGGUUUGAUCAUGGCUCAGAACGUACGCUGGCGGCACGCCUAACACAUGCAAGUCGAACGAAGUAGCAAUACUUAGUGGCAGACGGGUGAGUAACAUGUGGGUAUCUGCCCUUUGGCCUGGAAUAACACGAGGAAACUUGUGCUAAUACCGGAUAAGUCUUUACGGAGAAAGCUUUAUGCACCAUUGGAUGAGCCCGCACUUGAUUAGUUUGUUGGUGGGGUAAUGGCCUACCAAGACUUUGAUCAAUAGCUGAUUUGAGAGGAUGAUCAGCCACAUUGGGACUGAGACACGGCCCAAACUCCUACGGGAGGCAGCAGUAGGGAAUCUUGCACAAUGGGGGAAACCCUGAUGCAGCGAUGCCGCGUGAGUGAAGAAGGCCUUUGGGUUGUAAAGCUCUUUCGUCGGGGAAGAAAAUGACUGUACCCGAAUAAGAAGGUCCGGCUAACUUCGUGCCAGCAGCCGCGGUAAUACGAAGGGACCUAGCGUAGUUCGGAAUUACUGGGCUUAAAGAGUUCGUAGGUGGUUAAAAAAGUUGGUGGUGAAAUCCCAGAGCUUAACUCUGGAACUGCCAUCAAAACUUUUUAGCUAGAGUAUGAUAGAGGAAAGCAGAAUUUCUAGUGUAGAGGUGAAAUUCGUAGAUAUUAGAAAGAAUACCAAUUGCGAAGGCAGCUUUCUGGAUCAUUACUGACACUGAGGAACGAAAGCAUGGGUAGCGAAGAGGAUUAGAUACCCUCGUAGUCCAUGCCGUAAACGAUGUGUGUUAGACGUUGGAAAUUUAUUUUCAGUGUCGCAGCGAAAGCGAUAAACACACCGCCUGGGGAGUACGACCGCAAGGUUAAAACUCAAAUGAAUUGACGGGGACCCGCACAAGUAGUGGAGCAUGUGGUUUAAUUCGAAGAUACGCGCAGAACCUUACCAACACUUGACAUGUUCGUCGCGACUUUAAGAGAUUAAAGUUUUCGGUUCGGCCGGACGAAACACAGGUGCUGCAUGGCUGUCGUCAGCUCGUGUCGUGAGAUGUUGGGUUAAGUCCCGCAACGAGCGCAACCCUCACUUUUAGUUGCCAUCAUUAAGUUGGGCACUCUGAAAGAACUGCCAGUGAUAAGCUGGAGGAAGGUGGGGAUGACGUCAAGUCCUCAUGGCCCUUACGUGUUGGGCUACACACGUGCUACAAUGGCGGUGACAACGGGAAGCAAUUGGGCAACCUUGAGCAAAUCCCCAAAAACCGUCUCAGUUCGGAUUGUACUCUGCAACUCGAGUGCAUGAAGUUGGAAUCGCUAGUAAUCGUGGAUCAGCAUGCCGCGGUGAAUACGUUCUCGGGUCUUGUACACACCGCCCGUCACACCAUGGAAGUGGAUUGCACCAGAAGUAGAUAGUCUAACCUUCGGGAGGGCGUUUACCACGGUGUGCUUCAUGACUGGGGUGAAGUCGUAACAAGGUAGCCGUA